GAUGAAGAACGUAGCGAAAUGCGAUACUUGGUGUGAAUUGCAGAAUCCCGUGAACCAUCGAGUCUUUGAACGCAAGUUGCGCCCGAAGCCAUCAGGUUGAGGGCACGUCUGCCUGGGCGUCACAUAUCGUUGCCCAAUGCCUAUUGCAGUGCAAUAGGAAUUUCUAGGGCGAAUGAUGGCUUCCCGUGAGCGUUGUUGCCUCGCGGUUGGUUGAAAAUCGAGUCCUUGGUAGGGUGUGCCAUGGUAGAUGGUGGUCGAGUUAGAACGAUACCGAUCAUGUGCAUGCUCCCCAAAAUAUGGCCUCUAUGACCCACACACGUCUUUUGACGCUCAUGACGAGACCUCAGGUCAGGCGGGGCUACCCGCUGAAUUUAAGCAUAUCAUAAGCGGAGGA
rnacentral:misc_RNA from 1 species